GAUGAACGCUGGCGGCGUGCCUAAUACAUGCAAGUCGAGCGAACGGACGAGAAGCUUGCUUUUCUGAUGUUAGCGGCGGACGGGUGAGUAACACGUGGAUAACCUACCUAUAAGACUGGGAUAACUUCGGGAAACCGGAGCUAAUACCGGAUAAUAUUUUGAACCGCAUGGUUCAAAAGUGAAAGACGGUCUUGCUGUCACUUAUAGAUGGAUCCGCGCUGCAUUAGCUAGUUGGUAAGGUAACGGCUUACCAAGGCAACGAUGCAUAGCCGACCUGAGAGGGUGAUCGGCCACACUGGAACUGAGACACGGUCCAGACUCCUACGGGAGGCAGCAGUAGGGAAUCUUCCGCAAUGGGCGAAAGCCUGACGGAGCAACGCCGCGUGAGUGAUGAAGGUCUUCGGAUCGUAAAACUCUGUUAUUAGGGAAGAACAUAUGUGUAAGUAACUGUGCACAUCUUGACGGUACCUAAUCAGAAAGCCACGGCUAACUACGUGCCAGCAGCCGCGGUAAUACGUAGGUGGCAAGCGUUAUCCGGAAUUAUUGGGCGUAAAGCGCGCGUAGGCGGUUUUUUAAGUCUGAUGUGAAAGCCCACGGCUCAACCGUGGAGGGUCAUCGGAAACUGGAAAACUUGAGUGCAGAAGAGGAAAGUGGAAUUCCAUGUGUAGCGGUGAAAUGCGCAGAGAUGUGGAGGAACACCAGUGGCGAAGGCGACUUUCUGGUCUGUAACUGACGCUGAUGUGCGAAAGCGUGGGGAUCAAACAGGAUUAGAUACCCUGGUAGUCCACGCCGUAAACGAUGAGUGCCAAGUGUUAGGGGGUUUCCGCCCCUUAGUGCUGCAGCUAACGCAUUAAGCACUCCGCCUGGGGAGUACGACCGCAAGGUUGAAACUCAAAGGAAUUGACGGGGGCCCGCACAAGCGGUGGAGCAUGUGGUUUAAUUCGAAGCAACGCGAAGAACCUUAUCAAAUCUUGACAUCCUUUGACAACUCUAGAGAUAGAGCCUUCCCCUUCGGGGGACAAAGUGACAGGUGGUGCAUGGUUGUCGUCAGCUCGUGUCGUGAGAUGUUGGGUUAAGUCCCGCAACGAGCGCAACCCUUAAGCUUAGUUGCCAUCAUUAAGUUGGGCACUCUAAGUUGACUGCCGGUGACAAACCGGAGGAAGGUGGGGAUGACGUCAAAUCAUCAUGCCCCUUAUGAUUUGGGCUACACACGUGCUACAAUGGACAAUACAAAGGGCAGCGAAACCGCGAGGUCAAGCAAAUCCCAUAAAGUUGUUCUCAGUUCGGAUUGUAGUCUGCAACUCGACUACAUGAAGCUGGAAUCGCUAGUAAUCGUAGAUCAGCAUGCUACGGUGAAUACGUUCCCGGGUCU
rnacentral:rRNA from 1 species